AACAAAAUAAGCAAGCAUGUCAAAUAAGAAAAUUAAGACACGCACAAAUAAUCCAGAUUUUGGUAUCCAUCUCAAGAUACCUAGUACGACAUUAAUUCCUAGUCUUUGGACAGAGAAAUUAACUGUAAUUGGUACUCUUGGUGCAAUGAUCAAACAUUGACAAUCAAUUCUGUCAAAUAAUAGCCUUUCUUUGGACCGACUAUUAUUCACAUGAAAUGUCUUUAUAAUUGUCACACAUUUAUCAUCACAAGCACGUUGUUAUUUGGCCAAAUU
rnacentral:lncRNA from 1 species